GAAAAUGAAUAUAUUUUCCAAAUGAUAUGUUCUUUUUUCCUUAACUUUUUUUUUCUAUUCUUCUUUAAACUUAAUUUUAUCAAAUAUCAAAACAAAGGGGUUUAAUCCACAUUCACAUUCGCUUAUUUUAUUUAGCAAUUAAAUGGAGAAAUAGACAUUAAGAUAAAUGUUUUUAAUUUUAAUUUCCUACAAUUUUUAAUUGAAUUGUUGUCGCUUCAAAUGGGCCAUAUUCUGCAUCUUAAAUUUAUGUUUAUUUAUUGAAUAAUAAUUAUUAACGAUCUCAAGGUUCAUCUGAGAAAAAAGAAAUUUAGUUGACGGCAACCAAAAUAAAAAAAAAAUAGACACAGAAAUAGACACAUCGAAAGCAUCAUUCAGCGUAAUAAAAUGACCAUUGCAUUCAUGUGGAACAGAUCGAACCCAAACACACGACACUUGAUUGCCAUUGAUCCCAUAAGUUGUUUGGUUGUUUCGAACACAUACACACACACACACACACACACUCAAACAUCUAGUUAUUAUCAACAUAUUCAUAAGUACAUUUUGAUAUUAUUAAUUACUACUAACACAGCUGCCCGUGACUCCUCCAAAAAAAAAAAAAAACCAAAACACAUUACCAUCCAUUGAUUACAUGAUCAAAAAUCAAAGCCAACUGUAAUAUUCGAAUAAGGUAUAUUGUUUUCUCAUUCAUACCAUAGUGAGUUGAGUGAAGUGAUAUCACAAAUAUUGCCUGAUAGUGUCUGCGGUCCAACACAACAAAUAACAUCCUUUAGGAUGAUGACAAACAUCAUCAUCGUUUUGAUAAUAGUUUUUAGAAGCAUUUGCAGUGUUAUUUGCGAUUUGAAUUUCAUUAUCAACAUUUUAUUUCUUUUUGGGAGUCCCCCCCACACACACACACACACACACACACCGAACCAUUUCUUAUCUAUCGUCACCAACAAUUUUGUUAUUGUUGUUGUUGUUUAUUGUCUGAUUUUAAAUUUUAAUUUUGAAUUAUGUCAAUAUUUUUUUAGGAUUAUUCUACGCACAAUUAUACUUUAGAAUGAAAUGGUUGUAAAAAAAAUCCUACUCAUUGAUUUACCAAACAAACAUUGUAUCGGUUUUUGAUAACAGGAUUUAUCAUCUAGAAUAAAAAUUGUAGCUAAUGAAAUGACAGGAAAUGUUCGCUUCAAUCAGAAUCAAAUAAUUCGUCAGAAGAAAAAAUGGAAUUAAAUUGUUUGAAAUUUAGACAUAGGCCAAAUAAUCAUAGAUUUAAAACAAAAAUUCACUGACCAAUUGUCCAUUGAACUGGGUUAAAAUCAAAGUGUUCAAUUUGAUCUAGAGGUUUUGAUAAAAAAAUAAAA